GGAGAGAUGUCCGAGUGGUUGAAGGUCCGGCACUCGAAAUGCCGCGUGCCCAAAAGGCACCGUGGGUUCGAAUCCCACUCUCUCCG
rnacentral:tRNA from 1 species